rnacentral:rRNA from 11 species
AGGUAAAGCCCAAAUAACCUGAAGGCACCAGAUCCUGUCUGAUCUCAGAAGCUAAGGAGGUCUAAGCCUGUUAGUAUAUGGAAGAUAGAAAGCUAGAAAGAGAAUAUAGGGCUAUAUUCC